UUACCAGUUUUUCUCUCUUUCUCUCUUACUCUUUUUGUUUUCUGUCAGCAUUUGAUUUGUUUACAUGCACAUACAUGAAAUGAUAAAUGUUAGAUAGUUGGAUCCAACUAAGAAAUCGAAUGGUGGACCAUCUGUGCCAUCUUUGAUACUCCCAAUAACCUUUGUUGUUUUUGUUGCUAAUGCCCCCAAAAUACCUAACUUUAUUUCAAACAAACCCUACAAUCAAUAGACCAACCAAAAAAAGUAGAUUAAAAAUAGAUGAAAAUAAUUCACACCAAAAAAGAUGAAACGUAAUUCAAGACUUUCAAGUGGCUUGCUCCUCUGUUGUACUUGUCGUAU